rnacentral:rRNA from 1 species
AAGCGUGCGCAGGCGGUUUUGUAAGUCUGAUGUGAAAUCCCCGGGCUCAACCUGGGAAUUGCAUUGGAGACUGCAAGGCUAGAAUCUGGCAGAGGGGGGUAGAAUUCCACGUGUAGCAGUGAAAUGCGUAGAUAUGUGGAGGAACACCCGAUGGCGAAGGCAGCCCCCUGGGUCAAGAUUGACGCUCAUGCACGAAAGCGUGGGGAGCAAACAGGAUUAGAUACCCUUGU